UACGAAGGUCCCAAGCGUUAUUCGGAAUCACUGGGCGUAAAGGGUGCGUAGGUGGUGAGGAAAGUCAGAUGUGAAAGCCCUGGGCUCAACCUAGGAACUGCAUCCGAUACUCCCUCACUAGAGGAUUGGAGAGGAGUCUGGAAUUCACGGUGUAGCAGUGAAAUGCGUAGAUAUCGUGAGGAACACUCGUGGCGAAAGCGAGACUCUGGACAAUUCCUGACACUGAUGCACGAAGGCCGGGGGAGCGAACAGG
rnacentral:rRNA from 1 species